CAUGAAGCUGGAAUCGCUAGUAAAUCGCGAAUCAGAAUGUCGCGGUGAAUACGUUCCCGGGUCUUGUACACACCGCCCGUCACACCAUGGGAGUCGGGAAUGCCCGAAGUCAGUGACCCAACCUUUGGAGGGAGCUGCCGAAGGCAGGUCUGAUAACUGGGGUGAAGUCGUAACAAGGUAAC
rnacentral:rRNA from 1 species